CCACUCCCUGGUGAGUGGCUCCCUGUGAUGCGGCCAUUCUGCUGUCCCCUGCCCACGCUCCAUGGCUCCCUGUGUCCGAGGGGAAGUGCGUCCCUGGUCAUGGUUUCCACAGAACUGGGCUGUUUGUCUCUGCACUUGUGAACGAUUUCCUGGGCCGUCAGAUCCCUUCAUCUUCCUUCUUCCAUGGCCAGCUGUUAACAACAGCCACAAACAAGCAUCAAACAGAGCAGAAGGAGCAAGCCCAGGGUCCAUCCACGGCCCAAGGAGGGGGCCUUCCUCCAGCUGACCAGCACUCUGUCCUCUGCAGACCCGAGUUAGAUUUCUCUUUUGGAUGCAGAAGGCAAGAGCAAUGCUUGUACAUACAAAAUGAGACAGUCCAGACGCUGGGGACCCAGUGCAGGAGAAACCACAGGGUAUGUCCAAAUGUACAUUUCAACACUUUCAAAGAAAGGAGUGUUUCAGGAAGUCACAACACUACAUUUGGCACCUUGGUCAAGUGUCAGACGGCUGUUGGUAUACGGGUCUGUCUCUGUGCCUUCUGUUCUGUUCUGCUGGUCUUCACGUCUGGUUGAACGCCAAUUCCACGCUGUUUUGUUACUACGGCUGCUUGACUGUUUGGGGUCUCUUAUUCUCCCACAUGAAUUUCAGGACUGUUUUUUCAGUUCUGUGCACAUCUUUGGUACCUUGAUGGGUUGCACUGAAUCUGUGCGUUGCUCUUGGUAGUGUGACCAGUUUGUGGUGGAGGAGUAAGUUUACCUUACGUGAGGGUCAGGGUAGGCGGCUUCCUUAUUGUGUUAAGGUGCUAGACAACAACAAUAACACACACACACACACACACUGCUCCUGCGGUUGUCCCCACUCCCCCUCCCUGGGCCUCCCAUCUCAGUGACAGUGCCUCGCGCUCUCCAGCUGGGAGUCCAGAGGCCCCAGGGCUGCUCUUAGCGGCUUCUCUCUGGCUUCCCCGUUCACUGGAUAACUUCGAAGCACACCAGAAUCCGACCUUGCCUCUCACCUCCCUUAGGACCACUCUGUCCACAGCACCACCAGCACCCUGGCCUGUGUCACUCCAGUAGAGCUCCCUGAGUGCCCCCGUGCCUUCUCCCUGGCCCCCCAGCAGGCUCCUCAGCCCAGAGCAAGGGCCAUCUUUCCUGAGUCCCCUGAGCCCUCCCUGUCCCCUACCCGCCCUGCACAGGGUGGUGGGAGCUUCUGCAGUGCCUGCAGCUGGCCUGGAGCUGUCCCCUCUCCCCCAGGGUCCCCUGCACUUCCCCCCAGCUCCCCUUAUCUGUGGGCAUGAGGCUGGAGGGAUGCUCAGAGAGAGGCCAGUGGUCCUGUAACUGCAGGGUUGUGCUCAGGACAGCUGUAGUCACACAGCAGGGAAGACAAGGGAAACCCUGUGUGACACUGCACAUCCACGACCACAGACCCGCACGUUCCCAGGAGCAGAGAAAAAUAUGGCCCUGUGGUGUCAGCUCAUUAUCACAGCAGAGUGGAAAAGAAGGAAGGGUAAAAAUACUAGCUUUUUCUUUUUCUAUCUUUUAAUGUUUGCUUAUUAAAUUGGGUGCACCUUUACAGUGUAAAAAUAUCCAAUAAAGAAAAACUAAAACAGCUACUAUUUGAAAGGACAAGGCCCGAAACUCAAUAAACAAACAGUAAUUGUUCAUGUGUCUAUCAGAAGACCCAGAUUUCUAUCACAAUGCUCAAAAAAUAGAAAAAAAAGUGACAUGGUUUCAAUCCCGGGUUGAUCUAGGGCGGCUGUGUCGUUCACACAGGAGGAAAAUGAGACCCAGCCCAGGCCCUUGGCAGGACCACAGCAGAAACAUGUGUGUGACAAUAUGCACUCCAGGGGCUAAGCAUGUGCCCAAGCACAGCUGGAUGGUGGCAGAGGUACAUCUCCACCCUGAUCUUCUGACACCAGGCCCAGGGCUCUUUGCCGACAGCACAGGUCGGGAGAAUCCACAGGGGCAUGAGGUCCUCACACACACCGUGCUCUGUCCACUCGGGCAGCACCGUGAUGGUCACGUCCAGGAGCCGGCCGUGUGCUCUUCCUAGAAACCCCAUUUUUUUAAUUUUGGAAUUUGGGGUCUUUGAGGCACACACAUAACGCUUAGACACUGAUUUCCAACACUUGAGACAAGCAGAGCCCACAACCAGAUGUCCCCUCUGGAGCCCACUGCUCUGUCUGAUGCUGGCCACGGCCCCUGCUGUCUGUGUGGGAGGGCUGCCUGGUUUCUGCGUUGAGUCCCUGUCACCUCCCAAGCUCUGAAUGAAGCUUCAGUGAGGCCCCUGCCGCUCCCUCCGUGGAACGUCUGAUGGGCACGUCUCUGGACUCCCCCGACACCUAGCACUUUCCCGC
rnacentral:lncRNA from 1 species